AUUGAACGCUGGCGGCAGGCCUAACACAUGCAAGUCGAACGAGUGGCGGACGGGUGAGUAAUGUCUGGGAAACUGCCUGAUGGAGGGGGAUAACUACUGGAAACGGUAGCUAAUACCGCAUACCAUCAGAUGUGCCCAGAUGGGAUUAGCUAGUUGGUGGGGUAAAGGCUCACCAAGGCGACGAUCCCUAGCUGGUCUGAGAGGAUGACCAGCCACCGUGGAACGGAGAAACGGUCCAGACUCCUACGGGAGGCAGCAGUGGGGAAUAUUGCACAAUGGGCGCAAGCCUGAUGCAGCUAGGCCGCGUGUAUGAAGAAGGCCUUCGGGUUGUAAAGUACUUUCAGCGGGGAGGCGUUACCCGCAGAAGAAGAAACGGCAAAGACGGUGCCAGCAGCCGCGGUAAUUC
rnacentral:rRNA from 1 species